rnacentral:rRNA from 1 species
GUCUAUGGCUAUGCCACCCUGAACAAGCCUGAUCCUGUCUGAUCUCAGAAGCUAAGCAGAGUCAGGCCUGGUUAGUACUUGGAUGGGAGACCACCUAGGAAGAAGACCAGGUGCUGUAGACA